GACGAACGCUGGCGGCGUGCUUAACACAUGCAAGUCGAACGGUGAAGCUCCAGCUUGCUGGAGUGGAUCAGUGGCGAACGGGUGAGUAACACGUGAGCAACCUGCCCCUGACUCUGGAAUAAGCGCUGGAAACGGCGUCUAAUACUGGAUACGAGAAGGGUCCGCAUGGGCACCUUCUGGAAAGUUGUUCGGUUGGGGAUGGGCUCGCGGCCUAUCAGCUUGUUGGUGGGGUAAUGGCUCACCAAGGCUACGACGGGUAGCCGGCCUGGGAGGGCGACCGGCCACACUGGGACUGAGACACGGCCCAGACGCCUACGGGAGGCAGCAGUGGGGAAUAUUGCACAAUGGGCGAAAGCCUGAUGCAGCGACGCCGCGUGAGGGAUGACGGCCUUCGGGUUAUAAACCUCUUUCAGCAGGGAAGAAGCGAAAGUGACGGUACCUGCAGAAGAAGCACCGGCUAACUACGUG
rnacentral:rRNA from 1 species